UUGCAGCAGGCGCGUAAUUUUUCUCAAGUACGGGGGAAACCCUGAAGGAGCGACGCCGCGUGGAGGAUGAAGGUCUUCGGGUUGUAAACUCCUGUCAUUUGGGAACAAGGUGUGCGCGUUAACUGCGCGCGCAUUGAUAGUACCAGAAGAGGAAGAGACGGCUAACUCUGUGCCAGCAGCCGCGGUAAUACAGAGGUCUCAAGCGUUGUUCGGAUUCAUUGGGCGUAAAGGGUGCGUAGGCGGCGCGGUAAGUCGGGUGUGAAAUUUCGAGGCUUAACUUCGAAACUGCAUUCGAUACUGCCGUGCUUGAGGACUGGAGAGGAGACUGGAAUUUACGGUGUAGCGGUGAAAUGCGUAGAUAUCGUAAGGAAGACCAGUGGCGAAGGCGGGUCUCUGGACAGGUUCCUGACGCUGAGGCACGAA
rnacentral:rRNA from 1 species